rnacentral:rRNA from 1 species
GUUAAGCGACUAAGCGUACACGGUGGAUGCCCUGGCAGUCAGAGGCGAUGAAGGACGUGCUAAUCUGCGAUAAGCGUCGGUGAGGUGAUAUGAACCGUUAUAACCGGCGAUUUCCGAAUGGGGAAACCCAGUGUGUUUCGACACACUAUCAUUAACUGAAUCCAUAGGUUAAUGAGGCGAACCGGGGGAACUGAAACAUCUAAGUACCCCGAGGAAAAGAAAUCAACCGAGAUUCCCCCAGUAGCGGCGAGCGAACGGGGAGGAGCCCAGAGCCUGAAUCAGUGUGUGUGUUAGUGGAAGCGUCUGGAAAGGCGCGCGAUACAGGGUGACAGCCCCGUACACAAAAAUGCACAUG